UCUUCAGUUCUUCUGGAUUUGACCUUGCAGCUGGAGCCUGAGGUUUCUCAGCACCAGGGGAAACAGUAGUAGCUGGAGACGGCCUAACCGGUCCAGGAACUCGUGAUACAGGCUCCAUUGCGGAGGCAUAGCCUGAUGGCCAGACGGGAGGUCCACCACUGCCUUGCAAGAGGGCGCUACUCCGGCAACUAAUGAUGCCACCGCUCCCCUGAGGCAGCUGUCUUGUGUUCAAGGAGGGCGACUUGCCGAUCAAUGGUGGCUGAACAUAUCUUGGCAUCGACCGUGACCUUUGAACCUCCUAGUUGUCAUUAUCCAUUCCCGGCAUCCCAGGCAUCUUCCUUACUCC
rnacentral:lncRNA from 1 species